GUAGGUGACAAGCGUUGUCCGGAAUUAUUGGGGCGUAAAGCGCGCGCAGGCGGUCCGUUUUAAGUCUGAUGUGAAAGCCCACGGGCUCAACCGUGGGAGGGGUCAUUGGAAACUGGGGGACUUGAGUGCAGAAGAGGAGAGUGGAAUUCCACGUGUAGCGGUGAAAUGCGUAGAGAUGUGGAGGAACACCAGUGGCGAAGGCGACUCUCUGGUCUGUAACUGACGCUGAGGCGCGAAAGCGUGGGGAGCGAACAGGAUUAGAUACCCUGGUAGUCCACGCCGUAAACGAUGAGUGCUAAGUGUUAGAGGGUUUCCGCCCUUUAGUGCUGCAGCUAACGCAUUAAGCACUCCGCCUGUGGAGUACGGUCGCAAGACUG
rnacentral:rRNA from 1 species